UACGUAGGUGGCAAGCGUUGUCCGGAUUUACUGGGCGUAAAGAGCGCGCAGGCGGUCUAUCAAGUCGCGUGUGAAAGCCCCCGGCUCAACUGGGGAGGGUCACGCGAUACUGAUCGACUCGAAGGCAGGAGAGGGUAGUGGAAUUCCCGGUGUAGCGGUGAAAUGCGUAGAUAUCUGGAGGAAUACCGGUGGCGAAGGCGGCAUCCUGGACCGGCAUUGACGCUGAGGAGCGAAAGCUAGGGGAGCAAACGGG
rnacentral:rRNA from 1 species